UACGUAGGGGGCAAGCGUUAUCCGGAUUUACUGGGUGUAAAGGGAGCGUAGACGGCGAUGCAAGCCAGAUGUGAAAGCCCGGGGCUCAACCCCGGGACUGCAUUUGGAACUGUAUAGCUAGAGUGUCGGAGAGGCAGGCGGAAUUCCUAGUGUAGCGGUGAAAUGCGUAGAUAUCUGGAGGAACAUCAGUGGCGAAGGCGGCCACCUGGACCGGUAUUGACGCUGAGGCGCGAAAGCGUGGGGAGCAAACAGG
rnacentral:rRNA from 1 species